rnacentral:rRNA from 1 species
GACGAACGCUGGCGGCGUGCUUAACACAUGCAAGUCGAACGGAAAGGCCCUGCUUUUGUGGGGUGCUCGAGUGGCGAACGGGUGAGUAACACGUGAGUAACCUGCCCUUGACUUUGGGAUGACUUCAGGAAACUGGGGCUAAUACCGGAUAGGAGCUCCUGCUGCAUGGUGGGGGUUGGAAAGUUUCGGCGGUGGGGGAUGGACUCGCGGCUUAUCAGCUUGUUGGUGGGGUAGUGGCUUACCAAGGCUUUGACGGGUAGCCGGCCUGAGAGGGUGACCGGCCACAUUGGGACUGAGAUACGGCCCAGACUCCUACGGGAGGCAGCAGUGGGGAAUAUUGCACAAUGGGCGGAAGCCUGAUGCAGCAACGCCGCGUGCGGGAUGACGGCCUUCGGGUUGUAAACCGCUUUCGCCUGUGACGAAGCGUGAGUGACGGUAAUGGGUAAAGAAGCACCGGCUAACUACGUG